rnacentral:piRNA from 1 species
UUUUAAAAUAAAAAAAUUAAA